UUUCUCUGAAACUAUAAGAACUAUGCUGUUGAAACUUGAUAAGUAGAUGUAUUCUGUGAACCGCAUUAAGAUUUUCACACAAAAAUAGAAAAAAAAAACAAUAAAUUUUGGGGCUCUUCAAAAAUGAUAUUGAGGUUUCUAAUAUCAUUUUUUUCUAAACUGAAUAGUUUGCACGAGAGACACUUCCAAAGUGGUAAAAUGUGUCCCCCCCACCCCCUGUAACUUUUAAAAUAAGAGAAUGA